AACGAACGCUGGCGGCAUGCCUAACACAUGCAAGUCGAACGGGAUCCUAGCUUGCUAGGUGAGAGUGGCGGACGGGUGAGUAACACGUGGGAAUCUGCCUUUUGGUUCGGGAUAACCGCGGGAAACUGCGGCUAAUACCGGAUGCUCCCGAGAGGGAAAAGAUUUAUCGCCAGAAGAGGAGCCCGCGUCCGAUUAGGUAGUUGGUAGGGUAAUGGCCUACCAAGCCAACGAUCGGUAGCUGGUCUGAGAGGGUGAUCAGCCACACUGGGACUGAGAUACGGCCCAGACUCCUACGGGAGGCAGCAGUGGGGAAUAUUGGACAAUGGGGGCAACCCUGAUCCAGCAAUGCCGCGUGAGUGAUGAAGGCCUUAGGGUUGUAAAGCUCUUUUGCCAGGGAAGAUGAUGACUGUACCUGGAGAAUAAGCCCCGGCUAACUUCGUGCCAGCCGCCGCCGUAA
rnacentral:rRNA from 1 species